rnacentral:rRNA from 1 species
GCGAGGGACGGCGCCGCCCCGGGGCUCGUGAUAUCUUAUCUCGCCGCCCGUCGCGAGGCGGACGGAGGGAUGGAUGAGGUUACCUGGAAAAAAUCGGGGCGAUCUAGGCGGGCGAACCUCGCCAACGAACGAUCGGACAUGGGAUAACGGAAGAGGGCGUCGGCUCGACUUCGUCGGUUCCUCGGGCCGAGGCACGUACGGUGAAUAGGGACGGUCGGGGCCGCCCGUACCGGGUCGUGAGAGGUGAAAUUCUAGGAUCGACCCGAGACGAACUGCCGCGAAAGCAUUCGGCAAGGACGCUUUCAUUAAUCAAGAACGAAAGUCGGGGGAUCGAAGACGAUCAGAUACCGUCGUAGUCCCGACCGUAAACGAUGCCGACCGAGGGCCCCGGAGGAGUUACGUACGACCCUCCGGGCCCUCCCGCGAGAAAUCAGGAGUAUUCGGGUUCCGGGGGGAGGUAUGGUCGCAAGGCCG